GACAGUCUGUGUUUGGCGAGUGGUUCUCGUCACAGAAGAAGCAAUAUGGAUUAUUUGUGCAUUCUAGACAACCAUCGGACUGAAAUCCGGAGGAAACAGAAGCAGGUUGCAGAAGAGAAAAGGCAGAGAGAACUGUGGAAGCAGUGGGAACGAGAUGCAGCCAAACAGGCUACCCCCACGAACAAGGGAGCGAGGCCCCCUUCAUCCCCUAAGUAGUGGAAACUUACUGCCAGGUGAAUCAUGUACCAGGACACAGAGGUAUAGUCUUCAAUCGCCACCCGCAACUACUUACCGGCCCCCUUGCCUCACCUCGUCCUCGUCUUCCUGUGAUGUCCUAAAGAGUCAACGUCGCUUCCCUCGAUAUGCAGUAGUGCGUCUGGAGCCCGCCCUUUGACACUCGUCGCCCUUCAACCCUCAUCUUACUGUGACAAAGGGACUCUGAAGGGACUCGACGGAAGUGUUAAUUAUCAAACGAAAGUGCAAGCUUUUCCUUAGAAAAGUUAAUGAAUUUAUAGUGUGUUUUCUUUUGUUGAUAUCAUUCAUACAGUUGAAAUUAACACACCAUUACAAACUGUCUGCCAUCAUGAAAGAUUCGACUCUAGUGUUAACAUGAUCUAUGUGUGUUAUGUGAGUUGCUAUAUUGUCCAUUUUAAUAUUCUUACAUUUUAAUCCUCUAUUGCAUUUUUUUUUGGAGGGGGCUACACUGUAUGGCAUAUUCUUGUACUUUAC